GACCCCCUUCAAGAUAGAAUCUUUUUCAUUUAGUUUGUCUUCUUAUCUGAACUCUUCAAAAGAGCCACAGAACUCCAACCUGGCGGAUGAGAUAUAUCCUCGGUGCCUUAGAGUGAUACCAAGUACUUUAGCUCCGGCUUCAGUGGUGAUGAUCUCGACCCUUUUGAGUGUCUGGCUUCGGUCGGCUUGAUUGGGUAGGCACUGAUGGACUUCUGACAGGC
rnacentral:snoRNA from 1 species